CUACGGGAGGCAGCAGUGGGGAAUAUUGCACAAUGGGCGGAUGCCUGAUGCAGCAACGCCGAGUGCGGGAUGACGGCCUUCGGGUUGUAAACCGCUUUCGCCUGUGAGGAAGCGUGAGU
rnacentral:rRNA from 1 species